AGAUGCUCCUUCUUGUCGCAUGUAGCGUCCAUCUGAUCCGUCAAACCUCUGGAGCUCGGCACUCCAUGUGCUCUCUCCUCGGCUUGUCUUCUUCAUCCUUCAGAGCUCCUCGCCCAAAGCUUUCCUUUGCAUCUGGCACGUCUCUCUCUCCUCCAGCGCCUUGAGCCCCGUGAUCCUCUCCAUCAGCUGCCAGUUACUUGCUUCUCCAGCCUCGCCUUUGC
rnacentral:lncRNA from 1 species